rnacentral:lncRNA from 1 species
UAUGAUCCCAGGAAGAUAGGACGCUAAGGCCGGCAACCACGGUCCUAUGACAUCUGGACACCACCUCAUGUCUCCAGCUGGGUGUCCAUUUUAUAUGACCAGGUGACACCAGGUUUGCUCUGAGAACUGGAAACGUAAAACAAACUACUCUGACUGAAAAUGCUCCCACCAUGCAGCUCAAAUCCACCAGCACCUUCCACCAGGACCACCAUUAUCUACAAGUAAGGCUUUUUCAAAUACUGCAUUAUUUAUUCUUUGAGUAUGAAAUUCUCAACGUGUUUUGAUCAGGCCAACCCCUCAUUCCCUCUCCAACUCCCCCAUGCCUCCCAUGUUACAUUCCCCUCCCGACUUCAUAGUGUGUUCCCACAGCACACUGAGUCCAAUCCCUGCUGUCCCUGUGUGUGAGUGUGGGGGGGCAUCCACUGGAGCAGGGACAACCCACCAGGAGUCACUUCCCCGAAGACAGCUCAAGCCCUCUUCCAGCAGUCUUCAUUGCCAAAGUUCCUCAGUUAGGUCUUCAUCUCGUGCUGGUCAUGUGCAAGCAACCAUGGCAACUGUGAGUUCAUGAGCACAAUGACCCUGUCAUGUCCAGAAGCCAGCAUUUCGCCGCAGCCCUCCCCAGUCUUGCCUCUUACCCUUUUCUGAAAUGUUCCCUGAACAUGGGAGAUGGGUGUGAUGUAAAUGAGGGGUUCUCAUUCUCUGAACUCUGGUUUUUACGAGUGAAGUCAGGCUUUGUUUUUCUUCCUACUGCUGUUGUAUUCUGAUGGGGUGUGGCUCAAAUUUGGAAAGCCAGUGUUUGGACAGGAAAAAUGAGCUAGGAGAGAAGCUCCCUCCUAGCCAACUCACCUCCAGCACAAGAUGGCCUCCAAAGACACAUUCUCACUGUCGCACUGUCACUAAAUACAAAAUAAAGAAGAAAAUGUUCACAAGUGGUCACUGGGACAACCCCCUGCUGUGAAGAAACAGGCACUUCACAGACACAGCUAAUGUCCUUCUCGGAAGAGGUUAGCAUGCUGACACAGGGUGCCGACUAUAUGAGGAGGACUCAGAGGAAAUGUGCCACCUACAAUGCAAGGAGGGGGGCUUCAGGGCGUCCAGCCUGUUCCACUUCCAUCUUGGACUGAAAAGAGGCUGUAAAAAGACUAACAGAUGGACAUAGGAACCACAAAACCUCCCCGCCUCUCUACCCACUAGAACCCACUCAGGGCUGUCUGUCCACAGCAGAGACCCUACACUGUCCACCUCAUCUGCCGAGCAUCCCUGGACACCCUCUGGGCUGCCCACUUACCUCCAGGCUUUGCUGCUUGUCCCCUUCUCCAUUCUCUUCAACAUCUCUCUAGUAGCUACAACUGUCUGUUCACUUGUCAGUUUCCCCCCCCCCGGGGGGGGGGGGGGGGGACUCUGUCACUGUUGAGUGACUGGUACUUGGGGCCAGUUUAUCAGUGGCCUCAGCACGUUUGCCAAGUUAAGAAUGAAGUAGCUGUGCUGUCCCUUGGGAACCAUGUGGCAUGAAUUGUCUUCCUACUCACCCACCUCUCUGAGAGAAGGGCUCCCAGGAGCCCAGCAGCAGAGGUGGGACUGCAGGCUGGCACGUCGUCUCAGUGUGUCACUUCUGGAACGCAAUAUUAUGGCUGGCUCUGGGAUGAGGCUGGCUCCCCAAAUGCAAGCUAUGAUCUUUCUGGUUCAGCAGCACUGGCACAGGAGAAAGGACUUGACACCAAAAGCAACCUGGAGUAGAAUGCGGAGCUCCCUGGAAGCUGAAGCCUGUGUAGCUAGCUGUAAGCCUCCACACAGGUGCAUGUUCCAGGUGUGUGCCGAUGAUAACUGGCUAGCAUGCUCCAGAAUGCCCAGGAUGAGAACACUCCCUCGCCACUGCUCUCUCUUUCUCUCUGUCCCUGAACAAAGCAGGGCUCUAGUGUCCACUAGAAACCAGACUUCUGCAAAAAACUCCUGAGAUAGGCUAGCCCAGCAAUGUGAGCCUUUAGAUCUACAGUGUUAAUGGAUAUGCUAAUGGUGGUAAUUACCAUGGUCAUUAAUUCAUUAGUUAACUGGCCCUGAGGAGUGCUAUCUGAAAGCCCCAGGAUGAAGGCCAGUGGAUUAAGAAAUGCUCAAGUGUGGAUUACCUCGAUCAGGAUGACAAGCCAUAAAAUGUUU